CCCGUUUACAAGUCCCCACCACCUCCAACUCCUGUUUACAAGUCGCCACCACCACCUAAGACGCCACACUACCCUCCACAUACCCCAGUUUAUAAGUCUCCUCCUCCACGCCAUCAUCACCCCGUUUACAAGUCUCCACCACCUCCAACUCCUGUUUACAAAUCACCACCACCACCCAAGGACCCACACUACCCUCCACACACCCCAAUUUACAAGUCACCACCACCACCCAAAGAACCACACUACCCACCACAUACCCCAGUGUACAAGUCUCCACCACCACCAACUCCAGUAUACAAGUCACCACCACCACCCAAGAGGCCAUACCAUCCUCCACCAACACCAUAUCAUCCCACACCAGUUUAUAAGUCUCCACCACCACCAACUCCAGUGUACAAGUCACCACCACCCCCAACUCCCGUUUACAAAUCACCACCACCACCAGUGAAGCCAUACCAUCCCGCACCAGUAUACAAGUCUCCACCACCCCCAACUCCCAUUUACAAAUCACCACCACCACCAGUGAAGCCAUACCAUCCUAAACCUGUGUACAAGUCUCCACCACCACCAGUGAAGCCAUAUCAUCCUACACCCGUCUACAAGUCUCCACCACCACCAACUCCCGUCUACAAGUCACCACCACCACCAGUGAAGCCAUACCAUCCUACACCCGUCUACAAGUCUCCACCACCACCAACUCCCGUCUACAAGUCGCCACCACCACCAGUGAAGCCAUACCAUCCUACACCCGUAUACAAGUCUCCACCACCACCAACUCCCGUUUACAAGUCACCACCACCACCAGUGAAGCCAUAUCAUCCCUCACCAACACCAUACCACCCUACACCAGUAUACAAGUCUCCACCACCACCAACUCCCGUUUACAAGUCCCCACCACCACCAGUAAAGCCAUACCACCCUUCACCAACACCAUACCAUCCUAAACCAGUAUACAAGUCUCCACCACCACCAACUCCAGUCUACAAGUCUCCACCACCAACCCACUAUGUUUACUCCUCUCCCCCUCCUCCCUACCAUUACUAAGAAGUGAGUUUACUAUAUCUGAGGUAAUUAAGAUGAACUUAAACCUUUACAAACAUAUAUAACUAAAAUGCAAUGCAAUAAUAAGUUGCACAAUUAUUUCUUCUCUUUUGGUUAGUUUCUUUUAUAUGUUCUCAUUCACAAUAUUAUAUUGUUAUGCAGGAAAAGCAUAAUGUUGAGCUGAAAGAAAGGCAUUUUCCAUUUUCAAGAAGAAAAUUAUAGUAAAUAAUAAGGCUUACAGAAGAUCAGACGAAGUUCUUUUGUAGCUUCAUGUUAUCUAACUUGUCUUAGUGAUAUAUUGUUUUUGUACUCUAUUUUUAUAUAUUACUUUUAUGUGUCUUUGUGUAUGUUUGCUCACUUUCAAUCUUCUUGCAAAAUGCAGAGAUUAAUUAUGAGAUUAUCAUGAAUAAAAUAAGUUAUUACUACUCCCAUAUGUUUUAAUUAACUUCUCAUCACAAUAUAUAUUACCUUUGUUUUCAUUUUAUCAUGUGCUCAUAUUUAAUUUAUAAAAUUAUAAUGUGAACACAACAUUUACAAUUUUUUUCAAAUAGAACUAUUUAUAUAUAUAUAUAUAUAUAUAUAUAUAUAUAUAUAUAUAUAUAACAGGAUGCUCAAAUUAAUAACCAACGAAUUUCAUGUACUUAUGGUUAUAAUUCAAUCAAAUUCGAGUAUUGUAGUCCAUUUACGAUAACAAAAUAAAAAAAUUAUUUAAUAAUCACAUAAUACGUUGUUAAACUUUUGUAAAGUAUAUGAUUUCAGAAGCUCAAACAAAAAAUUACAAUCCAAAUAUUUUAAAAAUAAUAGUUUAAAAUUUUCACGCAUCACAUAAAUAUAUAUACUUACUCCAAGCCUAUCCUAUCCGAAAUUUUCAGCUAUUGAUGUAGCCUCUUGUCGAUACUACUAGUCUUCUCGCUACCUACUAGAAAAAUUCCAUCAAAAUAGAUUGAAUCGACGACCUAUACUUCAACUAAAGGCACGAGGGCGUAGCGAGCUUAACUAUUAUCGUAAUAUAAGAUGAAAUCCACCCAUUUUGAUAUCACAUACACGUCUUUAAAACUGAUAAAAUAAUGAGGUCUACUCUUAGUCAAAAUUAAAUGAUUGUAGACCACAUCUACAGUUCCCAAUUGUCAACAAUUCGAUCCUCCGCGUUUGUGGUAGGUUUCACUUUCAUUUCUUCGGUUCGAUUUUAUCAAAUUUUAAUUUGAUUCUUUAAUUUUUAAUUUUGGAAAAAUGUGUAUGGAAUGUUGAAUCGAAUUAAUUUGUUUAAUUAUCUUUUUAAAAAAUUAGUUUAAAACAAAAAUUGAAUUUCAAUAAAAUUUAAUGAAAAAAUUAUUCAAAUUGAUUAGGUAACCUUUUAAGUCAAAUAUCAAUAGUUGAAUAAUUUUAUAGGUAAAAUAUUCAUAAUUGAGUGACUUUGAGAUCAUACAAGAAAAUUGAGUGACUUUAUAAGAGAAAAAAUCUUAGUUAAAAUAAUUUUUUAUGAGAAAAAAUUCUUAAGUAACUUUAUGGCAUUAUAAAAAAAAAUUAACUCCUCUUUAAAUUAGAAUUACAAAAUUAAAAGUAAGUUCCAUUUUAAAGAUAAGGACAUUAUUAGUAAAAAUAAUUGGUGAACAUUUUCCAAUGAAAAAAUAAUAUUUUUCUAAAAUAGCUAAUAGAUGAUAAUUCGUUUCUUAGGCGUAAAAAUGUUAGGACAUGUUAGCCUCACUCAGUUGAAUAAAUUGCUCACCAAGAACAUAAUCAUUGAAUAUCCUAAAACAAAGUUUAAAAAUGAAUUAAAAAAAAAAUCAGUAAUAAAAAAAUACAUGCAAACUAUCUACAAAUGUAUUAUUAUUAAUUUUUAAAUAAAAAAGAGUAAAUGAAAGAGAAUAGAAGAUCUUUGACUUGUUAAUUAAGACAAAUAUUUGUCUAAUAUAAGUAUGUCGGUAAUAACAAUGUAGACUAAGAUCUGUACUUGUUUAUAUAUCCAUAUCCCUUAAUGUUAGGACCAUUAAAAUUAUUAAUUUAGUUUAACUAAUUAAUGGGAUCUUAUAAAUACAUUAAUAAUAUUACUGUUGUCGGUGAUUAAGUUAAUGCUAAUACUUAAUUGUUUUUUUUUUCCAAUUAAAAUGUCAAAGUCGUUAGAUGAACCAAAAUGGAAUCGUCCAUGAAGAUGGUACCAGAGUACAAUUAUUGAAUAAUAUCUUUUUUUUUUAACUUCAAAAAUUAAAGUGGAAUUCAAUUACCUACUUUAUAAAUGUAUGGCAACUUGGCAAUAAUUCAUUAAAUUUCAGGAAGAACAAAAACCAUCGAUAAUUGAGAUUAAUUUAAGAGAUAAAUGUCAAAAACACAUUUAAUAUAUUACAUAUUUUAAAAAAAUUCAUACUUCACCCCGUCUCUUUUCGAAAAAAUUGAUAUUAUUUUAUUUUUUUAAAAAUAGGAAUUCUAUCCAUCCUAUAUAACCUCCUGUACCUAAUUUUUUUAUAUAUAUUUUUGUGAGUUUGUAUUAGAUAUGUACAUAUAUUUUUAGGAAUUCUUUCUACUUGUGUACCAAAUAUAAAGUAAAUAAAACAUUUAUUUUUUAAAAAAGUCUUGAGGCCGUGGCAAAUAAAAAUUAUUUUCAAUAUGUUUAUAUCUAACACAAAAGGAGAAAAAGUUCGAAAGCGGACGGUUAGGUGGGGUAGGUAUAUUUUUUUUAAAGCAAAUUAGUAUAUAUAUUUUUUUGUGUGUGUGGGGUUGGGGGGGGGGGGGGGGUAAAAAAAAGUUAAAUACCUUUACAAAAGAAAUUUAAACAAAAAAAACUAAAAAAAAAAAGGGUGGGGGGAGGGUUGGACGGUUAGAGAAAGUGAUGGAGUGGGUAGGGAGGCGAGCAAAAUUGGGAGGGAGACGAGCAAACUUUGUACGUAUCGUAACCCAGAACAUGUGAAUCAAGCAAGAUACACACUAGGUACAUGUAUUUGUACGUGUCUAGAGGAAUUCACAUAUAUCUGGGAUAUCAUAUUCUUGGAAGAAUGACGAGCAAAAUGGAACAGAGGCAAGGAAGGAAAACGAGAUAUACUAUGUAUCCCAAAUACAUGCGAAUUCAAUAAAUAUAAUGUAUCUAGAACAAAUUACACCUAAAUUUGAUCGAGAUAUUCGAGAUACAUGUAUCUCAAGGCACCAAAAUCUGAUUUUUAUAUAUAUAUAUAUAUAUAUGAAAGUUUAUGUGAUCGAUAAAACUAAUAGCUUAGUAUUUCAAUGGUAUCAUUUCUACACAAAAUAGUUCUACCUCAAUUUAUGACAAAAAUGAUUUUAUUUAUAUGAGAUCAAAUUUAUAGGGUUUCGAUGACCAUGAUAAAACAGGAGAAUGUACAAAAAUACUUAAGUCCUUGUUUAUAAUAUACCAUUUUGCCAAAAUAUUUGUAGCUCGAUUAACUUUCUUAUAGAAAUGUUGAACCUUUCAAAUAAUAGUGCUUGAUAUAAUGAUAUAUUGUAAAUAUGAAAAGUGAUGUUUUUCAUUUUCCAAAGAAUACCACUAAAAUAGUUCUUUCUAACAUCAUGUAUAAAUUUUUAUGCAAGUAAAACAUUUUAAAUAAUAAUCUACGAAACUUGUUAUUUGAUCCUCAUAGAUAUUAUAACAUUUAGUUUUAGUGCUUAUGAAAAUAAUUUUGUUAGAACAAUAUUUCCAUUAUACGUAUAAAAAGUUCACAUUGUUCUUUGUUUUUAAAGAUACAAUAUCCUAAUUAUUUCAUUGUUAUUCCAUCUCUAUUAUUCAUUGAGCAUAAUUUGAAUAAUUUAUUUUUAUCAUAUUAUUACCAAUAUAAUCAUAGAAAGUCAAAUAAGAAAACUAAUUUUCCUUGUUACUAUUUCUUUGAUUAAUUGGAAUUAGAGACGACUAGUUAUUAUUAUGAGCAACUUUCACAUAUAGCAAACAAAAAAUUUAUAUUUGUAUGCUAAUUAAGCUCCAUAGCAAACAUAAAACUGUAUAAUUUGCUAUACAUAUACAAUUGUAUAAUUCGCUGGCCUAUUUCGCUGCAAUAGUAUAAUUUGUUUUGCAUACAGUUGAAUCGAAUUAAAAUGUAUGUAUAUUGCAUAAUUAUAAGUGUAUAGCAAGAAGAUAUAUGUUUUUCUCGCUUUAUACAAAAACAGAAACACAAUAUAUACACUUUUGUUGUAUAAAGCUAGAGAAAAUUGUAUUUCACUGCAAUUGUAUAAUUCGCAAUUGUAUAAUUCGUUGGCCUUUUUCUCUGCAAUAUUUGAAGUAAAAUGUUUGCAAAUUGUGUAAUUAAGUGUAUAACAUGAAGAUAUACAUUUUUGCAUGUGUAUAUACAAUUUUCUCUCGCUUUAUACAAAACAGAAACAGAAUUAUACACUUCUGUGUAUAAAGCGGGAGAGGCGAGCGAGAAUGGAGAGUGGCGAGCGAGAUUUUUGGGAGAGAGACGCUGGCAAAUUUUAGCUAAUGUUUGCUAUGGAGCAAAAUUAAAUCAAAUCCUAGCUAUUCCAUUUAAUUUAGGUUAUUAGUUUGCUAUUAUAUACAAUUUUUUCUAUUAUUAUUAAUCGGAUGCAUUUCACUCCGCACAUAAAUAACUUCCAAUAAUUUAAUAUUAAUUAUAUAUGCUCUAUUAAAUAAUUUUUAAAUAUAAAAUAAUAUUAUGGUAGAUUUGGGGGUGUCAAAAUCAAGUCAAUUUGUCAAACUCCCCUAUUCCAUUUAAUUUAUCAACUUUAACUCAUCUCAACCUAAUUUAGUUUAAUUCAUAUUUAAACAGUGAAUUGAUAUAUAAUUCAAAUUAGCUUAUCAAAAUAUUUUUAAAAUAAUAUUUUUAAAAUUUGAUAUGUUAUAUAUAGUCGUAAUAAAGAAAAAAAUAAACUUAUUAGGUGCUAAAAAAUUUUAAAAAGAGCAAACUAAACAACUAAAUUUUAGUAAAAAUUGAAGGGGUUAUAUUAGAAAUCGAAUUUAACUUAAUUAUGUCCAAUUCAUUUCAAUUCAAAUAGACAAUAGCUAAUGAUCCAUUCAUUUGUUAACUCAUUAAAAUUCAAUCGGUUCAAAUUCAGGUCAACUCUCCUAUACCAAACUUCUAGUAGAUCUUAAUCAAUAAAAAUUUGGACACGAAAACAAUUCAUUCAUUUCAUCCAUCAAAUUAUUAAUAAGUGACACCAUCUUAGCGACCCAGUUCAUUGUAUUAUAUUAAGAAAAAAUAACUUAAAUACACAAUUAUAAGUUUUAUAUUUUCUAAUUUUCCCUUCUUUUUUUUAAAUAUUACAUAAUUUCCUUUUUUUAAAAUUUUAGUGUAAGUUUAUAGAUACAUUACAUUCUCUCUCCUAUAGUACACAAUUACCCAUUUUAAUGCCUAUUUAUUCUCCAUUAAAACACUCAACCUUUUAAAUAAAAGACCUAAUUUUGAAUUUCAAAAUUCAAAAAAUUUCAAAUUUCAAAAAUCAGGUUCUCCCGUUUUUCUUACUCCAUCAAGUUUCACUUCCUUUUUUUCCAUAAUCAUCUUCCUUCUUCUUAACCUAGCAGAAUUUAUUGGUUUCUUCUUUUUAUUCUUAAUCCAUCAUCUUUUUCUUCUUAAUCUGUAAUCGUCUUAACCCAAUAUCUUUUUAUUAUUAAUCCAUCAUCAGUUCGUCUUUUCUUCUCUUUUUUCUUUUUGUUAAUUGUUCUAUUACAUUAUAGUAAUGGAUCCGUUAAUUAAUAGAAGGAUAUAUGAUUCCGACGAUGAAAAUUGGAAAGAAAAUAGGAAAAAGUUUUUGCAUGAUCCUAUGAAUCUUCAGAAGGAUUCAAACAAAGACUCUGGCGAAACAUCAAAAUCAAAGGUUAUCAAAAUACAACAAAAAAAGAAAAAAGAAGCAGCAAACAUUGUUGUUAGGCCUACAUUGUCUCGGGUUAGUAUUUUGGUACUUAAAACUGUUGUUGAAAUUAGUAAAAAUUUUAAGGAAUCUAGUGUGCUUGCCGAUACAUUUGAAUAAGUGUGUAUAGUGUUUUAGAGGUGAAUUGAUACAUGAAUUUAUUGUGUAUCAUAAUAUUUUAUAUGUAUCAUGAAGUUUUGAAAAUUGUUAUAAUGUAUCAUUCAAUAAGUUUAGUAAAUACGUCAUCAACUGUGCUUGAUGAUACAUAUAGAAUCAGUGUGUACGGUGUUUAGUCAAUUCACUGAUACAUGUAGGAGAUAUGUAUCACAUGUUUUGCAUAUAGUAUGAAUUUCUGAAAACUGAUAUCAUGUAUCAGUAAGGUAUUAGUUGUUUAGUUGAUGUACUGAUACAUGUUUGAAAAUUGUUAUAAUGUAUCAUUCACUAAGUUUAAUAAAUGCGUCAUCAACUGUACUUGAUGAUACAUAUAGAAUCAGUGUGUAUAUUGUUUAGUCGAUGUUUCUGAUACAUGCAUUAGAUACGAAAUUGAAUCUCCAACAACGAUUCCGUCGAUUUUGUAACUUUCAUACUGCAAUUCGUUCACCUAAAUUCCGGAAUGUCUCAUCAAAAUCGAAGUAUUCAUCUUGAAAAAUCCACUGUAACAACAAUAAAAUUACUGUAGUUCGAAAUUUAACAGAUUGUUCAAAAAAAUUGUUUUCAAAAUAGAUGACAUAAUCUUUGUUUUUCAAAAUUUGAAAUUAAUAUCCAAUUAAGUGCUUAUUUUAUGCUGAUUAAUGAUAUGUUACCGUAAAUUUAGCUGUUUUAUUAACAACAUUAACUGUACCGUUUUCCCCCUUUUUUUUCUCAACAGUUUAAAAUUACCAUGUAUCAUUUACCUUGUAUCACGAGAGUCUAAAGUAUCACGGCUCAACAAAUUUAAGAGAUUUUUUGUAAAUACUAAAUUUGUCUGGACAAAAUGAAAUUAUUGAAUUACACUAUAGGAUUCCUUAAAUUUUUACUUAUAUUAAUCUUUAGUAUGGGGACCUAAAUAUUUAACUUUCCAAUUCCUUUAGGGGUCAAUUUGAUUGAUUAUAAUGAGUGAAUUAUACUAUAAAAAUUGAAAUAAUAAUUAAUGUUUGUAGAGCAUAUUAAAUUAUUUUAUCAUGACUACAGUUGGUGUUAAUUGAAUUGGAAAUAAGAUAUAUACGGUAUAUAAUAUAUAUAGAAAUUUUAAUUUGAUUCGUUGAUUUUGUAUUUUCAGACAAAUUUUAUUUUUAAUUUUACCUUUCUUAAAGAACUUUUAGUUUGGUUGUUUUAUCAUGGAAUUAGCUAAUUAUUAAUCUAGAGAAUUGCUAUUCCAUAUACAACUUUGGUACAAUUAGAGAAUUAUAAUAUAAUUAAUUUCAAAAUUACUUAUAUUUAGGAACAAAAGUUUCAAUCAAACGAUAAAUAAUUGAAUAUUUUAUCUCAGAAUUAGUAUUAUUAUUAUUAAUACUAAUUAACGAUCCUAAGUUUCGAUUUUGUCACUCCGGUCCUUUUCUUUUAAUCUUUUCACAAACCAACUACAUUUGAUUGCAUUAACUAUAAAGUCCAUUUGCAUUAUUUUACAUAUCAAUUAAUAUUACUAAACUAAAUUUAUCUAUAAUUACUGAUUUAAAUGUAUACCUAUUUUCUCACCAACAUGGCAUAUAUAUUAGACUCAUUAAAAUUAAACGUUGCUUCAUGUGGUGUGUUCAAUUGGUUAGACUAUCUCGUCAAAUAUAUUGUUCGCAAAUAAACAAUGCUCAAAUGAAUGAUAUUAAUGUUGUUGGUGAAUAUUACAAGCUUCUCGUAACGUUUUGUUAGCUUACGUAUGAAUGUGCAAUAUUAUUUCUACUUAUUUUGUCAAACACUAAAAAAGUAAGUAAAAAACUUGUUUAUGUGAGAUAAUAUUUUUCUUUGUACCUAAAAAGUGCAUUAAUUUAUAUAGCUAAAAUAGUGCAAAGUUGAGGCCUCCACGCAUUAUUUUUGGUGAGAAGAAGAAUGAGAAGACUUUCUAUCUCUUUGAAUUAUUGCAUCACAAACAGUAUAGCUGCCUUAAUAGUUUAUUCAUUUGCUUAGCUUAAUGCCUCUAUCCAUCAAAUUAAAUAUACAACUAACAAGACAAAACCAAAUGAAAAUGCAUAACUCUAGGAUUUUACCUACAUUUGUAUAAAUUUUGGUAAGGGUAUCUGUCUAAAUGAAAACUAUAUAAAGGGGUUUGAGUGAAGCUUAAGAUGACAACAACUUUCUCCUUUGUUUCGAAUAUGGGGAAAAUGGCCUUUCUAGUUGCCACCCUUUUAGUGGUUUUAGUGUCACUUAGCUUAGCAUCUGAAAUUUCAGCUAAUUAUCAAUACUCAUCUCCCCCACCACCAAAGGAGCCAUACCACCCUUCACCAACACCAUAUCAUCCCACACCAGUUUACAAUUCUCCACCACCACCAAAAGAGCCAUACUACCCUCCACACACUCCAGUGUACAAGUCGCCACCACCCUCGACACCUAUUUACAAGUCGCCACCACCACCCAAAGAGCCAUACUACCCUCCACACACCCCUGCCUACAAGUCACCACCUCCACCAACUCCAGUUUACAGGUCGCCACCACCUCCCAAGGAGCCAUACUAUCCUCCACACACACCAACCUACAAGUCGCCACCUCCACCAACUCCCGUUUACAAGUCACCACCACCUCCAAAGGAACCAUACUACCCUCCACAUGCACCAACCUACAAGUCGCCACCACCUCCCAAGGAGCCAUACUACCCUCCCCACACCCCAACCUACAAGUCCUCACCUCCACCAACUCCGUUUUACAAUUCACCACCACCUCCCAAGGAACCAUACUACCCUCCUCACACACCAACCUACAAGUCGCCACCCCCACACAAGGAUCCAUACUACCCUCCACACACACCAACCUAUAAGUCACCACCUCUACCAACUCCUGUUUACAAGUUGCCACAACCACCCAAGGAGCCAUAUUACCCUCCACACACACCAACCUACAAGUCACCACCUCCACCAACUCCCAUUUACAAGUCACCACCACCUCCCAAGGAGCCAUACUACCCUCCACACACACCAACCUACAAGUUACCACCUCCACCAACUCCCGUUUAUAAGUCGUCGCCACCACCAUCCAAAGAGCCAUACUACCCUCCACACACACCAACCUACAAGUCACCACCUCCACCACCUCCCGUUUAUAAGUCUCCACCACCACCCAAGGAGCCAUACUACCCUCCACACACACCGACCUACAAGUCACCACCUCCACCAACUCCCGUUUACAAGUCCCCACCACCUCCUAAGGAGCCAUACUACCCUCCACACACACCGACCUACAAGUCACCACCUCCACCAACUCCCGUUUACAAGUCCCCACCACCUCCUAAGGAGCCAUACUACCCUCCACACACACCAACCUACAAGUCACAACCUCCACUAACUCCCGUUUAUAAGUCGUCGCCACCACCACCCAAGGAGCCAUACUACCCUCCACACACACUAACCUACAAGUCACCACCUCCACCAACUCCUGUUUAUAAGUCGCCACCACCACCCAAGGAUCCAUACUACCCUCCAAACACCCCAACUUACAAGUCGCCACCUCCACCAACUCUCAUUUACAAGGUUCCACCACCAGCCAAGGAGCCAUACUACCCUCCACACACACCGACCUACAAGUCACCACCUCCACCGACUCCCCUUUAUAAGUCCCCACCACCUCCUAAGGAGCCAUACUACCCUCCACACACACCAACCUACAAGUCACCACCUCCACCAACUCCCGUUUAUAAGUCGUCGCCACCACUACCCAAGGAGCCAUACUACCCUUCACACACACCAACCUACAAGUCACCACCUCCACCAACUCCCGUUUAUAAGUCUCCACCACCAACCAAGGAUCCAUACUACCCUCCACACGCCCCAACCUACAAGUCGCCACCUCCACCACCUCCCACUUACAAGUCGCCACCACCACCAAAGGAGCCAUACUACCCUCCACACACACCAACCUACAAGUCAUCACCUCCACCAACUCUCAUUUAUAAGUUGUUGCCACCACCACCCAAAGAGCCGUACUACCCUCCACACACACCAACCUACAAGUCACCACGUCCACCAACUCCCAUUUAUAAGUCGUCGCCGCCGCCACCCAAGGAGCCAUACUACCCUCCACACACACCAACCUACAAGUCACCACCUCCACCAACUCCCGUUUAUAAGUCGCCACCACCACCCAAGGAUCCAUACUACCCUCCACACACCCCAACCUACAAGUCGCCACCUCCACCAACUCCCGUUUACAAGUCGCCACCACCACCCAAGGAGCCAUACUACCCUCCUCACACACCAACCUAUAAGUCACCACCUCCACCAAGUCCCGUUUACAAGUCGCCACCACCACCCAAGGAUCCAUACUAUCCUCCACACACCCCAACCUACAAGUCGCCACCUCCACCAACUCCCGUUUACAAGUCGCCACCACCACCCAAGGAGCCAUACUACCCUCCUCACACACCAACCUAUAAGUCACCACCUCCACCAAGUCCCGUUUACAAGUCGCCACCACCACCCAAGGAGCCAGACUACCCUCCACACACCCCAUCCUACAAGUUACCACCUCCACCAAUUCCCAUUUACAAGUCGCCACCACCACCAACUCCUGCCUACAACUCUCCUCCACCACCUUACUAUCUUUACACCUCUCCCCCUCCUCCCUACCAUUACUAAAAAGCCACUUCAUUAUAUCGAGGUAAUUAAGACAAACUAAAACUAUUACUAAUGAUGUGUCUAAAAUGCAAAGCAAUAAGUUGCUCAAUUUCCUCAUGCAAAUCAUUAAUAUAUAGACCUAUGCAGUCUAUAUUCUUAUUUGGAUAACUUUAAUUACAUGUUCUCAUUCACAAAAUUAUAUUCUUAUGCAGGAAAAGCAAAAUGUUGAGCUUAAAGAAAGGCAUUUUACAUUUUCGAGAGACGAUGAAAAAAGAAGAAAACUAUAGUAAAUAAUAAGCCCCACAUAAGUCGAAGUUCUUUUGUAGCUUCAUGUUAUCUAAGCUAGUGAUACUGUUUGUACUCUAUUAUUUAUAUUUGUAUUUUUACUUUUAUGUCUUUCUGUAUGUUUGCUCAGUUUUAAUAUCCUAGCAAAAUGCAAAGAUUAAUUAUGAGAUGAAUAAAAUAAGUUAUUACUAUUAUACAGUUUUAUGUUUUCCUUCUCUCUGAUCUAUUCGAUCUUAAUUAGUCCUUUUUUUGGUCUUAUUUCUUCAUCUUUAUAUCGAAGGCGAGGCUCAACGAUUACAUUAAAUCAAUCAUCAUACAGAUAAAAUUGAUGACAAAUUUAACGUUAAGAUAUCAUCAAAAUCUCAAUAACAAUUUACAGAUCGAAAUCUUAGUAUCGAUUGAUUAAUAACCUAAACUUUCGCCAUGAAGACUUGAAUCCCUAAUCCCGUCCUUCAUUUCCCAUAUCUCUACCCACACAUUAUCUUUUAAGAAAGAAGAAGUAACAACCAAAAUAAACAUUAUAUCUAAAGUGAUAAUAUGAUAACAAUACAAAUAGGCAACAAUACAAUUAAAGAAAAAAAAAAAAGUUACUCCCACGAUGUCAACACGUAUGCUAGACUGACCAAUAAAGUUAGACAAAUUUCAAAAUUGACAAUAGCAAAGUAUACGUACGUAGCAUAUAGCAACCAAUCAAUGAAUAAAUUAUUCCUAAAGUAGUCAUUAUCAUCUCAUAUACUAUAUUUGGUAAAAUACUAAGAUUAAGUCAACAUAAUUCAGUCUACCGUUUGGUAAUUUAUAACAAAUAGUGACAAUAUUAAUAAAGUGAUUGGUGCUCUCUUUUGGCCCACCCCCAAGAAGAUCGUGAACGCAUAUUUUAAAUUUGAUUUGAUUACCACUUUUUAAUAUCUUUAAAAUAAAACUUGUAUAUUUAAAAAAUUAAAAAUUAUUAUUAUUAUUUAAUUAUAUAAAUAAAAUAUUUUAAAAUACAUUAGUAUCUUAAUAGAGAAAAGAUUAAAAAAUUAAAAAUUAUUAUUAUUAUUUAAUUAUAUAAAUAAAAUAUUUUAAAAUACAUUAGUAUCUUAAUAGAGAAAAGAUUGUUUGUUUGAUUUUCUAAAGUAACAGAGUCGGAUGAGAUAGUUGAUUAAUUUGACGGUUUGAAUAAUAUAAUCUUCUUGAUAAAUAAUCAUCAACCCAUCAUGCAUGUUUUAUAUUUAUUGAUAGAAACUUUGAUGGAUUGAUUUGUUGGUGCCGCCUCAACAUAGAGAAAAGAAAAAGAACAAGUUAUUUCAAUCUAUUACACUUUAGAGAUUAAAAAAAACAUUUUUUAAAGCAGUGAUAAAAUUGAUAAUAAUAAGUUGUUAAUAUGUUUGGCAAAAAGAGUGUCGAUUAACUAUUUUUUGCUAUAGUAUUGAAAUAUCUUUAGAUUUUUUAACCCCCAAAAAAGGUUUAAAACUACCUCUGUAAAGAAAAGGAGUUUAUUUUUAGAAAAUAUAUCUCGAGAAAUAAAGUAAGAUAAAGGAUAAAAUCGUGAAAGAAAAAUGUUGAUAAGCAAACAAAAAAAUCAAAGUUAGGAAUGACCAAUUUAUUGAAUAUAACUAAAUUGUCUUAAAUAAGCAACUUAGCUUAUAAAUAUAUAUAUAAAAUUAUUUUUAUAUCAGUUUGAUCAAUUAAUAAUAAAUUGAUUAUGCAUGAAAUAAUAGGAAGUGUUCUAAUUAAAAAGAAUACAAGGAAAAAGGUGCAGUAUUGUGUACGAUCGACCAAACAUACAUUCGUUAUUAAUUAUUAUUAAGCUAAUUAGACAACGCUAUCUUAUUAAUUUAUUAUAGAGCUGUCGAUAUUAGUUUAGAUAAUUAAAUUAUAUAAAAUUCAUUUAAUUCAAUCAAAGCUUGACUUGUUAAAUGUUAGGUUUAUGAUAUGAUUAAUUAUAUAUAUAAUUCACUAUGAUUUUACGCGACUUGUUAAUCAAGACCUUAUUUAACAUAUUGAUUAAGUUAUUAGUUAUAUAACUAAUAAAAAUAUAUUUUAAAUAAUAAAUGGUUAUUGAGAGAAAACUUCCAUGCAAUUAUCAUAAUAAGAAACUUCUUAAGAAAUUGUCUCUAAUUAGAUAAUUGGAUGGUGACUCUUUUGUUUAAAAAAAAUUGAAUCAAUCAAGAUUUUAUUGCUAUUAAUUGUGAACUACAAUUUGUAGAAGGGGAGCAUAAACCUAGAUAUUAACUAUGCACAACAUGAGUGUGCAAGAUUAUUUUGUUUAUUUAUUUUGAUUCAAUUCAGUAUCCGAUAUUCAUAUUAGAUUCUCAAUCAAAUUUGUAUUUACAUUAAAAAAAUUCAGUGCUCCUUAACAGAGGCAACAACUCUGUACUCAGGAGAACUCGAAUUCGAGACCUCUAAACAAGAAUAAAGAAGUAUUUGUUAUUCCAUAACAAUUUUUAUUGAUAAAAGAAACUCGUAGUAUCAUGAAAAGAUAAUAGAUUAUCUAGGCCUAAUGGAAAAUUCAGUCAAGCUUUAGAGGGAAAAUUAUGGCAUAGCAAAGUUACAAACUUUAUAGUAUGAUUAACUUAAUUACAAGACCGUUAAAUUGAAUGCAACCCCAAUAACUUUUCUUUCAAUAAAUAUUUGGCCUUUGUGAGCUUUAUUUGAACUCUCUCUUCCUUCAUAAACUUGACCAUCAGCAAUAUUUUCCUUUCCUCUUUUAUUUUAUUGCUCACUCGAUAGUCAGCUUUUAAGAUUGACUUGAUGUUUCGAUAAGCGAAAGGUGUAAAUCCAGAUUAUGCUCAAGUAUCUAAGUGAUAUAUGAAUUGCAAACUUUUUGCAUAUGCAUUUGAGAAGAAAAUAAUUAUCACAAGAAAAUAAAUAAUUAGCAUGCGGUAAAUUAUUAACGUAGUUAAAUAAUGUUAUAGUCUUAUAAAUUAAAAUAAAGACAAGGCAACAAUUGUCACUAAUUAUUUGUAUUGUUAGCAACAAAAACUAAGAGAACAUAAAUAAUAUAUACUUAAUGGCUCAAUUUUACACCAUUUCACUAUAAAUAACUUUAUGUCGCUAAUUUGAUUACAUAUUUUUGUGACGAAACUUAUUUUGUAUCCAAACUUAAACGAAUUUAAAGAUAAAUAUGAUUUAUCAUAAAUAUUCAGUAAAAACAGGGAGAAAAUUUAUCAUCAUCAAUAUCCUCAAUUUCGUCGCUAAAAUUACCUUACAAUUUGAUUUAAUUAUAAAUUGAAAAUCAAAUUUAAAAAUGAUUAAAUUUGUGAUGUUGGUGCAAAAUGCACGUAUCAAAUUAAACCCACCUUUAGGUCUAAGAAAAUGGUGAGCACAUCUUAACCAUUAUUCUUCAACUCAUUUCAUCUCUUCCUCAAUUAAUUAUGCAAAUAAUAAAAAUAUUUCUUUUUCCAUUCAAUGUCUGUGUUUUAUAUUGAAGUUCCAAUUAACUCUAGAUUAGAAACCGGAGGCGAGGGCACAUUUAAAGGUGAUGCUUCCUAUACGACUCAUGUAGUAAAAAAAAUUAUAAAAAAAACCACCACAAUAAUUAUAUACGCUUCAAAAAAAAGAAGAGAAUAGAAUAGCAUCCUAUUCAUAGAGAAAACUAUACUUGAUAGUUAACUGGUAGCAAAACUUUUGCACAAGAUUAAUUAUAUUUGUAUAGUUGAUUUAUUCAAGGUUUUAAUUAGAAGAGGUCUAGGAUUCUAUUUAUUUUUAUCCAUAUUUUUUAAACAAUAAAUUUGCUACAAAAGGAUGUCUGUGACAAAUCAUGUCUCCUAAAUAUAAGCACUUGUGUGAAGGUUAGUUGAGUGUAAAGUUGAGGCAUCCACGCAUUUUUUUUUUCAAAGGUUCUGUAAAAAGAAAACAAGAUUUUGUAGCUCUUUGAAUCAUUCUGUCACAAACAGUAUAGUUCCCUUAAUAGUUUAUACAUUUGCUUAGGAUGAUGCCUCUAUAUAUCUAUCAAAUUAAAUAUACAAACUAAAGUCAAAAUUGAGCCAACAACAUGUCAAGACUAAAUAAACAUAUGCAUAACUCUACCAUAUUACCUACAUUUGUAUAAAUUUUGGUAAGGGUAAUUUCUAAAUGAAGUCUAUAUAAAGGGGUUUGGGUGAAGCUUAAGAGGACAAAAACUUCUCUCCUUUGUUUCAAAUAUAGGGAAAAUGGCCUCUCUAGUUGCAACUCUUUUAGUGGUUUUAGUGUCACUUAGCUUACCAUCCGAAAGUUCAGCUAAUUAUCAAUACACAUCUCCCCCACCACCAAAGGAGUCAUACCACCCUUCACCAACACCUUAUCAUCCCGUACCACUUUACAAGUCUCCACCACUGCCAACUCCAGUUUACAAUUUUCCACCACCACCCAGAGAGACGUACUACCCUCCACACACUCCAGUGUACAUGCCGUCACCACCCUCGACACAAAUUUACAAGUCGCCACCACCACCCAAGGAGCCAUAUUACCCUCCACACACCCCAACCUACAAGUCGCCACCUCCACCAACUCCUAUUUACAAGUCUCCACCGCCGCCAACUCCCUUUUACAAUUCUCCACCACCACCCAAGGAGCCAUACUACACUUCGCCACCUCCACCAACUCCUACUUACAAGUACCCACCGCCACCAACUCCGGUUUACAAUUCUCCACCACCACCUAAGGAGCCAUACUACCCUCCACACACCCCAACCUACAAGUCGCCACCUCCACCAACUCCUGCUUACAAGUCUCUACCGCCGCCAAUUCCAGUUCACAAUUCUCCACCAUCACCCAAGGAGCCAUACUACCCUCCACACACCCCAACCUACAAGUCGCCACCUCCACCAACUCCUGCUUACAAGUCUCUACCGCUGCCAAUUCCAGUUCACAAUUCUCCACCAUCACCCAAGGAGCCAUACAACCCUCCACACACCCCAACCUACAAGUCGCCACCUCCACCAACUCUUGCUUACAAGUCUCCACCGCCACCAACUCCGAUUUACAAUUCUCCACCACCACCCAAGGAGCCAUACUACCCUCCACAUACCCCAACCUACAAGUCGCCACCUCCACCAACUCCCAUUUACAAGUCGCCACCGUCACCAACUCCGGUUUACGAUUCUCCACCACCACCCAAGGAGCUAUACUACCCUCCACACACCUCAACCUACAAGUCGCCACCACCACCGAAUGAGCCAUACUACCCUCCACACACACCAACAUACAAGUCGCCACCUCCACCAAUUCCAAUCUACAAGUCACCACCUCUUCCAACUCCUAUUUACAAGUCGCCACCACCACCCAAGGAGCCAUACUACCCUCCACAUACUCCACUUUCACCGUCUUCAGUUUAUAAGUCUCCACCUCCACCAACUCAUGUUUACAAGUCGCCGCCACCACCUAUAGAGCCAUACUACCCUCCACACACCCCAAUCUAUAAGUCGCCACCUCCACCGAUUCCUGUUUACAAUUCACCACCUCCACUAACUCCAGUUUAUAAGUCACCACCACCACCCAAAGAGCCUCACUACCCUCCACACACCCCAGUGUAUAAGUCACCACCACCACCCAAGGAGCCAUACUAUUCUCCACAAAAUCCAGUCUACAAGUCGCCACCUCCACCAACUCCCAGUUACAAGUCGCCAACACCACCCAAGGAGCCAUAUUAUCCUCCACAUACCCCAACUUACAAGUCACCACCUCCACCAACUCCAGUAUACAAGUCGCCGCCACCACCCAAGGAGCCAUACUACCCUCCACACACCCCGACCUACAAGUCGCCACCACCACCGAAGGAGUCAUACUAUCCUCCACACACCCCAACCUACAAGUCACCACCUCCACCAACUCCUGUUUCCAGCUCUCCACCACCACCAACUCCAGUCUACAAGUUUCCACCACCAACAGAUUAUGUUUACACCUCUCCCCCUCCUCCCUACUAUUACUAAGAAGAGAUUUCAUUAUAUCUAAGGUAAUUAAACCAAACUAAAACUUUUAAUUAUGAUAUGUCUAUAGAAGUUGCACAAUUUCUUCGUUCGAAUAAUUAAUAUAGACCUGUAUACUGUCUACAUCUUAUUUGGUUUAGGUUCUAUUAUAUGUUCUCAUUCACAAUACUAAUUAUAUUCUUAUGCAGGAAAGAUGCAGAAUGUUGAGCUAAAAGAAAAUAAGCCCACACAGGAGGCAAAGUUUUUUUGUAGCUUCAUUUUGUAUAAGUUAUUGUUUGUACCCUAUAUUAUAUUUAUAUUUUACUUCUAUUUAUUUGUGUAAUAUGUUUGUUCGAUCUCCUUGCAACAUGCAGCCAUUAUGAGAUGUAUAAAAUAUGUUAUUACUAUAUAUACUGUCUUUUUUCUUAUUUUUGUCAUCCCUUAUAUUGAGUUAUAUUUAUAAGUUGAGCCUCUUAUCAAUUACAUUAAAUCAGUUGCUAUAAAAAAUGUGGUUUUUCACCACCAAUAAGUUCAACGAUAAGCUACAAUCAACUGGGAAUAUUAGUAGCUUCAAUAGAAAAUGUUAAUAGCUCCGUUGAUUAGUUAUUUGAACUUUUUAUCUUUAUUACACGUCGCAAUAACAAUCAAUGUAAAUAUUAUAUCUAACCUCUGGACUUAUGCCCACAUAAUUCCUCAAUGCACCCACACAAAAUAUUGAAAUUAAAUAUUAUUACUUGCCUAUUUCUCUUAUCUUGAUUAUUAGUUUUCAGGGAUGAAAGUUUAAUUGUUACACCUUUCACUUUUUUAAAAAAAAAAAAAAGGAAUGGACAACCAACUGAUUUCGUAUCUGAUUGUAGUUGUUGAAGGCAUAUUGUAAUAAUUAAAUUUUCGUUUUUGAAAAAUAAUAAUCAAAAAAUAGAAAAUAUCAAUAAAUAAUAAUAUUUAAUUUUAUUUAUUUGUGCACGAUUUAACAAUCAUUAGAGAUUUCACACUAAAAUGUUUAAUUUUUUUGUUUUUUCUUUUUUUCUCUUCAUGACUAUCAACUCAAAAGUUUUGCUUUUUACCUGAAUUGAUGGAAUACUUGUUGAAAGUUUACCACGAAUGCAUAAUCAAUUUUUAAUCACAUUCGAGGAGGCAUAAAACGACUCACAACUUGAAGGCAAAAAAGAGUUGUAUGCAGAAGACUGCAAAUCAUUAUUGAAUAUUUUUUUAUAUAGGCAUCAGCUAGGGUUUGAAAUAUUUGAUCUAAUCGACUUUAGGUUUGAGAAUAUGAGUUGUGUUGGAUUAGACUUGUAAAUUUAAUAAUGGACUAACCUAAAUUUAAUCGAAAAAUUACCUAACUACAUAUAUAUUUUUUUAUCCUAUUUUCUAUUAUUUCAUAUAAUUUAUAAAAAUUACAAAAAUCUUUUUUUUCUCUCAAAUUCGCUCCUUUCAAGAUUCAUAACUUUAAAUCUUCCAACUCACAAUUUCUCCUUUUUCUCAGGCCUAUAAUCGCUCUACUAUAUUACUAGUUACCUUCAUCUCCUAUAUUUUGAAUUUUAGAUAUUUUUCUCUCUCCCGUUUAUAAUUUAAUUGAGUAUGUAUCAUAUGUUUGUUAUGUAUGUGAAGUACUAUUUUAUAACUAAAUCAUUGUUUAUCAUAUUCAUAAGUUUUUUUUAUAUGAUACAUAGCUAUGUCAAAUUAUACCGGCAUGAUACAUAAAUACUAAUUUAUGCUACAUGUAACGAUCUCAAAUCAAACAACUUAUGAGCAACAAUUACAUGUUAAAUGUAUCCCGUAACAAUACGAUACUUAUUAAUUUAAACGAGAUAAAUAAAUAGUAAUGUAUCAUGUAUUAGUUUUUAGAUGUGAUACAUAAAUUCGAAUUUGGACUACAUGUAUUAAUUACAUAGAAACUACCACGCGGUGAUGUAUCCAUCACAAAUGUAACAUCUUAUGGGCAACAAUUACUUAUUUAAUGUAUCUACUAUAAAUACAAUACUAAUCAAUUGAGACGAGAUACACAAAUAGUAAUGUAUCAUGCAAAAAAAUUUUUUACUUGAUAUGUGAAUUCGAAUUUAUACUAAAUGUAUCAAUUACAUAGCAACUACCACAUUGUAAUGUAUCGAUCUCGAAUUCAACAUCUUAUGGACUAUAAUUAUUUAUUUAGUGUAUUUAGUAUAAAUACAAUACUUAUCAAUUUAAACAAGAUACAUAAAAGUAAAAUGCUAAGUAGACAAGAUAUUCAUGAUAAUAUUCUCAAUUUUUUUGAGAUUCUUCAAUAAACUAGGAGAAGAAUUCUGAAUCUCAAAAUUUACAACAAUUUUGAAUCAAAAUUAAAAAGAUCUUUGAUGAACUGGAGAACAAAGAAUCUUAAUCUCAAAAUUUUUAACAAUCUUGAAUCAAAACUGAAAGGAAUAUCUUUGAUGAUCUUGAAGAUUCAAAAGAAAAUUGUUUAUCCAACAACAAUUUUGUCACUUUUGUAUCAUUCAUAAUUCACUUCGCUUACCCAAAAUUUCGACAAAAGUUUUUGGAUCAAAUGUGAAAGGUUUCUUUGUUGAACGGGGGGAUCAACUAGAAAUUUUAAAUUUCUUCGUUCUGUAUGGAUUUGAUUCUGUAUGAUUGAGAGUAAAAAGAAAUAUAAGCGUAAUUUAUGGAAUUUAAUUAGUUUUCAGAUUUUAUUUUCUUUUUAGCGCAACAGAAAGAUUCUUUUUGUAUUAAAAUUAGUGUAUCUAGAUGGUGGUGACUUAUGUAUUUGUUGAAGGAAGCUGAUGGAACAGGUUUGGUAGUAUAUGACUUUUUUCCUAUAUAAGGAUGAUGUAACUCAAUCAUUCAUUCAUCAAUAUAAUCCUUGAUUCUUCACAUACAUAUCUGUGAGAAUUCUACAUCCGAAAGGUACAAAUUUUAACGGAUCAUUUUAUUAGAAAAAAAUAGAGAUAAAAUAUAAUGUAUUCUUUACAUUACGAAGUUUACGUAAGUUAAUCAAAUUUGAUUAAACUUCCCUUAAAUCAUAAAAGUUUAACUUAAUAUUAUUCCAACUUUAUUAUAGAUAUAUAUAAUUGGAAAAAAAAACAAACAAAAUAGAACAUAAGAUCUCGAUCGCUGGACAAAUGUUUGUCUAUAAUAAAUAAAUAUGUCGGUAAUAAUUAUUGACUAGGUCAAUGUAGCUAAGGUUUGUACUUGUUUAUACUUACAUCCUAUCUCUUGGGACGAUUAAAAAAAUAUUAGUUUAGCUUAUUUAAUAAUGGAAUCUUAUAUGGAGUUUACUAAUUUUAUCUUUGUCGGUGAUUAAGUUAUACAAAUGAUUAAUUAUUUUUCUAAUUAAAAAGUCAAAAGUCAUUAUUGGAUGAACCAAGAAUCUUCCAUGUAUUUGAAUACUUUUUCUGUCUCCCUUAAAUCGUGAUGGCUUUUUUGUAAGUUAAAUAAUAAAAAAUUUUAUUAAUGUUUUGUUGAUAUAAGAAAUUAUAAAAUAAGUAUUUUUGUAUAAUAUAUUUAAAUUUUUAAUUUAAAUUUAAAUUUUAAAAAUUAGUUAUAUUAACUGUUAAAAAACCGUACAACGACUAAAACGGGACGGCUUGUUCUCUUCUUUCUUUUAUUAUAAAUAAAAAUAAAAAUUUAACUAAUGUGCAAUCAAUAAUGUUAAUUAUUUAUUCAAAGUUUAAAUUAAACACAUAAAAGUGAAAAGUAUAAAGCCUUCAACCGAUUCGAUUCAUUUAAUUAUGUUUCUUAAGAUAUUCCAUAUUUUCAAAUUUUAAAGAGAACUAUAAAUUCCUACAUUUAAAACUACAUACAUUAUUAAAAUGUGCCUAUAUAACACGCAUUUAAAUUAGUUGUGCUCAAAUAUAGAUAUCAAACAAGGAAUAAAACAUAAAGUGAAUUACUUAAACUAUAAUUAUAUAUUAAGUAAUUAAAUCAAAUCGUGUAAUUUAAUUAAUUAUACUACCAAAAUAUUAACUUCAACGAUAUGAAGUAACGCAAUGUACCUUUAAAGUUUCACAAAAUUUAAUUAGGUUGUAAGGUUUGAUUCUUGAAAUUUAGAAAUUAUUUUCAAGUGAUUUGAGUACAUUGAAAGUACCUAAGUCAAUAAAGUCAAAAAUAAAUUAAUUUUUACUUUGUAUCGUGACCUGUAUUCUACAUCUUGUGUGUUCCCACGAUAAUAAACUAAGAUACCAAAAAUUUCAUAGAUAUUAUAUUUAAUCAUAUAAAUUUUUUCAAUAUUGAGCUACAUAAUCCGUUGAAUUUUUUGCCCUCUAUUCCCACCUAAAACUAAAAAGAAAGAACAACAUUAAUUGCUUUAUUUAGUAAUGAAAGUGGGUCAUUAUAUAUAUAUAUAUAUAUAUAUAUAUAUAUAUAUAUAUAUAUAUAUAUAUAUAUAUAUAUAUAUUAUUUUAUUUUAUUUUAUUUUAUUUUUUUGACAACUAGGGAAACCUGAGCCGCUAUCCUAUAAAAUAGCUCGCAAAUCACAUAGGAGAGGUAACCUGCACUAGGCAAGCCUGGUGCAACGAGCUUGACCCAGAAGGCAAAUCUCUUGCUUUCGCUGGCAAGGGGUUUCAAACUUGAGACCUCCAAUAUGGAAGUUUCAAGCUCAAACCAUUGGGCCACCCCGAAGGGUUAUAUAUAUAUAACUUUUAGUAAUAUUAGAUAUUGACAUUAAUAAAGAGUGUUAAAGUCUUUAUCGGUAUCAGUUAAGUGUCAUUAGAACCAAUGUUGCUAAAGGCUUUAGGGACACAUACAAAGAAAGUUAUUGCCGCUAAAAACACUUAUUUGGCGACGUUUGAAAAUUAAUUGCCAAUAAUGAUUAUUUUUAAUAUAGUGUAUAUAUGUAUUAUUGUUUUAAAUCUCUAUACUAUUUAAGCACUAAAGGUAAUUAAAGGUUAGUUUAUCAAUCAAAAUCAAAAAAAAAUAAAUUGUUACUCCCUUAGUUCGUUUCAUAGUAGUUGAUCAUCUUACUAAAAAUAAUUGUUACACAUUAAUUGUCCAUCUUAUUAAAUCAAGAAAUCAAUAAUUAAUUUUUUCCUAUAUUAUCUAUUCAGAUAAUUCUUUUGAAAGUAUUAACAUUUGUUUGUAAAAUGUAAAAGAAGUUUUCAAGGGGUGAAUUAAUAAAAUUAUCUAGCUAGUUAAUAAAAAUGAUGGGUGAAAUAAUAUUAUCUAGCUACUUAAUAAAAAUAAUCAACUAAUAUGAGACACAUAAAAAUAGAAUUCUUCAAAUAUUUUGUAACAAAAAAAAAAAGAAAAAAGGCAGUGUACACUGAUUUUUGUAACUAAAAAUCGUGCGAAGUUGAGGGAUGCACGCAUUUUUUUCAAAGAUUUUGUAUGUAUGUAAUGUAAAAGCUUGGAAGAAAAAGAAGACUUUGUAGCUCUUUGAAUUAUUGCAUCACAAGAUGUAAAGAAAAUUGUAUGGUUGUCUUAAUAGUUUAUACAUUUUUGCUUAGCUUGCACCCUCUAUCCAAUAAAUAAAGUCAAAUUGAGCCAACAACAUGACAAAACCAAUUAUAAAAAUGAAUAAAAACUUUACCUACAUUUAUGUAAAUCUUGGUAAGGGUAAUUGUCGAAAUGAAAGCUAUAUAAAGGGGUUUGAGUGAAACUUAAAGAGGACACCAACUUCUCUUCUUUGGUUUCAAAUAUGGGGAAAAUGGCCUCUCUAGUUGCUACUCUUUUAGUGGUUUUAGUGUCACUUAGCUUUGCUUCCGAAAGCUCAGCAAACUAUCAAUACUCAUCUCCUCCACCACCAAAGAAGCCAUACCACCCUUCACCAACACCUUAUCAUCUCGCACCAGUUUACAGAUCACCACCACCACCAACUCCACUUUACAAGUCACCACCACCACCUAAGGAGCCACACUAUCCUCCACACACCCCGGUUUACAAGUCGCCACCUCCUCCAGCUCCAAUUUACAAGUCACCACCACCACCGGUGAAGCCAUACCAUCCAGCACCAGUUUAUAAGUCACCACCACCCCCUACGCCUGUUUACAAGUCACCACCACCACCAGUGAAGCCACACCAUCCUGCACCAGUAUACAAGUCUCCACCACCACCAACUCCAGUUUAUAAGUCACCACCUCCUCCAACACCCGUUUACAAGUCACCACCACCACCAGUGAAGCCAUACCAUCCUGCACCAGUAUACAAGUCACCACCACCUCCAACACCCAUUUACAAGUCACCACCACCACCAGUGAAGCCAUACCAUCCUGCACCAGUAUACAAGUCACCACCACCUCCAACACCCGUUUACAUGUCACCACCACCACCAGUGAAGCCAUACCAUCCUGCACCAGUAUACAAGUCACCACCACCUCUAACACCCGUUUACAAGUCACCACCACCACCAGUGAAGCCAUACCAUCCUGCACCAGUAUACAAAUCUCCACCACCACCAACUCCAAUUUACAAGUCACCUCCACCACCAGUGAAGCCAUACCAUCCUGCACCAGUAUACAAGUCUCCACCACCACCAACUCCAGUUUAUAAGUCACCACCACCACCGGUGAAGCCAUACCAUCCUACACCUGUGUACAAGUCUCCACCACCACCAACUCCUGUUUACAUGUCCCCACCACCACCAGUGAAGCCAUACCAUCCUACACCUGUGUACAAUUCUCCACCACCACCAACUCCCGUUUACAUGUCCCCACCACCACCAGUGAAGCCAUAUCAUCCUACACC
rnacentral:lncRNA from 1 species